rnacentral:lncRNA from 1 species
CAAAGCUCCUUGAUGUUUUAAAUACACUUUUGUUGAUAAGUUUCCUACGCACACAACUACUGCUUAAUCUCAAUUCUUUUUUAUACAAUGCCUCUCCUGUGGUUUUCUCUCUCUCUUCUCUCAGUUUGUUAAAUAAUAAAUCAAACUGAAUUACACUAUCUGCUAAGAAUAGAAAAGAGCUUGAAAUUGGUCAUAUGAA